rnacentral:rRNA from 1 species
AGUGAACGCUGGCGGUAGGCCUAACACAUGCAAGUCGAACGGCAGCACAGGAGAGCUUGCUCUCUGGGUGGCGAGUGGCGGACGGGUGAGGAAUACAUCGGAAUCUACCUUUUCGUGAGGGAUAACGUAGGGAAACUUACGCUAAUACCGCAUACGACCUACGGGUGAAAGUGGGGGACCGCAAGGCCUCACGCGAUUAGAUGAGCCGAUGUCCGAUUAGCUAGUUGGCGGGGCAAUGGCCCACCAAGGCGACGAUCGGUAGCUGGUCUGAGAGGAUGAUCAGCCACACUGGAACUGAGACACGGUCCAGACUCCUACGGGAGGCAGCAGUGGGGAAUAUUGGACAAUGGGCGCAAGCCUGAUCCAGCCAUACCGCGUGGGUGAAGAAGGCCUUCGGGUUGUAAAGCCCUUUUGUUGGGAAAGAAAUCCUGUCGAUUAAUACUCGGUGGGGAUGACGGUACCCAAAGAAUAAGCACCGGCUAACUUCGUGCCAGCCGCCGCAGUAAGAC